GACGAACGCUGGCGGCGUGCUUAACACAUGCAAGUCGAACGGAAAGGCCUCUUUCGGGGGGUACUCGAGUGGCGAACGGGUGAGUAACACGUGAGUAACCUGCCCUUGACUUUGGGAUAACUUCAGGAAACUGGGGCUAAUACCGGAUAGGAGCUCCUGCUGCAUGGUGGGGGUUGGAAAGUUUCGGCGGUUGGGGAUGGACUCGCGGCUUAUCAGCUUGUUGGUGGGGUAGUGGCUUACCAAGGCUUUGACGGGUAGCCGGCCUGAGAGGGUGACCGGCCACAUUGGGACUGAGAUACGGCCCAGACUCCUACGGGAGGCAGCAGGGGGGUAUAUUGCACAAUGGGUGGAAGCCUGAUGCAGCAACGCCGUGUGCGGGAUGACGGCCUUCGGGUUGUAAACCGCUUUCGCUCAUGACGAAGCUUUGUGUGACGGUAGUGGGUAAAGAAGCACCGGCUAACUACGUG
rnacentral:rRNA from 1 species